rnacentral:rRNA from 1 species
GACGUAGGGGGCCAGCGUUGUUCGGAAUUACUGGGUGUAAAGGGUUCGUAGGCGGUGCGGCAAGUUGGGAGUGAAAUCUCUGGGCUUAACCCAGAGGCUGCUUCCAAAACUGCCGUGCUUGAGUGUGGGAGAGGCUCGUGGAAUUGCAGGUGUAGCGGUGAAAUGCGUAGAUAUCUGCAGGAACACCCGUGGCGAAAGCGGCGAGCUGGACCACUACUGACGCUGAAGAACGAAAGCUAGGGGAGCAAACAGG